rnacentral:miRNA from 1 species
ACGUUUCGUUGCUCGGGUGCC